rnacentral:lncRNA from 1 species
CACCACUGUAUUCCACCUCCCCUUGGAUAACACGCAGAAACAGGCCAAGAAGAAAUACAGGAGAAAAAAUUACCUGCUGUUGGUUAUUUCUAUUUCAAAUGAAUACUAGCUGAACAUUUACUAAAUGACAUUGUCAGGUUUCAGCAAAAGCGGCCUGUAAUAGUUGGGUUUUGGCAGAGUUCAAAGACUGGGAAGCAAAGUUCAGCCAUGUUGGGCCUUUGGGCUCAUAGAUGAGCAAGGGUACCCCAAUAUGAGGGCUCAGCAAAUUCUGGAACUUAUCCGUUCUGAAGACCUUUAGAGGAGACGGAGCUGGCCGCUGGCUCUGCCUCUACCUCUACCUGGUCCCUUCCAGGAUGUACUUCCGAAGUGGUGGAAGUAGGGAAGGCUCUUGAAAGGAGAUACCCACGAUUCUUAAAAUUAUGCACCAAGACACAGCACAGAAUCAGAAUCAAAGAAAGUUGGAUUUCCGGCCCAUUCUGCCUUUUUCUUUUUAGCUCACUACUUAAUUCAAGGGUUAUUGCAAGGAUUAAAAAAGGUAACGUGUGCAAAAUGCUCAGUAUAUGGCCUCGUACAUGCUAGGUGCAGAAUGCAUGUAAGAAAAUAAAGUUUAAUAAAAUGUGUAUUAAACUAAUAUCUUUUCAGCAGGAGGCCAAAUAAACUUCUUGUCCACCUCAGAUUUUUUUUUCUCACUUUUUUAAAAAUCAAGGAGGAUGUGAGGAACCAGGAAUUGAGAUUUGGCAUUAAUCUUCAUUCUUGGUGCCUAGGGUUGGCCUUGCAUAUUGGCAAUGAAACAGGCUAUUUUUGACAUUGAGUUGUCCAGCAUUCUCUAAG